AUCAUACUCCCUCCGUCCCAAAUUACUUGUCGCAAGUAUGGAUGUAUCUAGAUGUAUUUUAGUUCUAGAUACAUCCAUUUUCGCGACAAGUAAUUUGGGACGGAGGGAGUACUUG
rnacentral:pre_miRNA from 1 species